rnacentral:tRNA from 1 species
GGCUUCGUAGCUCAGCUGGUAAAGCCCUUGCCGCAUUGAGGCAUCGUGUGUCUGUUGCUGGUUCGAAUCCAGCCGAAGCCC